UGCAGCAUCAGAAAGAGCCAGUGAGCUGGUGACCUGGGAAAAAAGAGUUGCAGGCAAAGGGAACAGCCACUGUAGAGGCCCUGGGGUAAGAAUGAGCUUGGUGUGUUCCAGGGACAGAAAGAAGACCAGGACACCUAGUCCACUGAGUGGAAGGAAGAGAGAUAUGCCAAGGGUGGAAAGCCACCAUGUAAGAAGUACCUUUCACCUUCCACCACGAUUGUGAGUCCUCCCCAGCCACGUGGAACUGGCAGGUGCAGAGGAUCCAGCAUGUUAUUCUGAAACCCCAGAAGAUGCUGAAGCUACUAAACAGAAGGAUCCUGGAUCCCUGAAUGUCUUCAUGGAACAGAACAUUCUCCUCACUGCAGUCUGUUUGAACCAGAAUAUGACCUGAGCAAGAAAUAAGCCUUAAUUAUAUUUGGCCAUAGAAUUCUGGUGAUAUUUGUAUGGCUGUAAGUCCAUGUUGAUUAAUACAAAGGGAUUCUGUAAAGGCUCUUGUCUCUGUUAGAAAAAGUUGCCCAAGGAGUGAAAGGAGAGAUAUUUUCUGUAAUUAAGAUUUUCAUAUUUGCAUAGUACAUAGAACAGCUACAGCACCUUGCAAUCAUAUGGGGUACAACAGAAAGAGGAAACAUUCCUGCUAUUGAAUUAGCCAAACUGGAGUUCUUGUUGUUAUAUAAUAUAGUACAAUUUCCUCAA